AAAGAAAUCGUUAAGGGCGUAUGGCGGAUGCCUAGGCUUUCAGAGGCGAAGAAGGACGUGGUAAGCUGCGAAAAGCUGCGGGGAUUGGCACACACGAAUUGAUCCGCAGAUGUCCGAAUGGGGCAACCCGGCAUAUUGAAGAUAUGUCACCUCGUAAGAGGAGCAAACCCGGAGAACUGAAACAUCUAAGUACCCGGAGGAAAAGAAAUCGAAGAGAUUCCGUAAGUAGUGGC
rnacentral:rRNA from 1 species